rnacentral:rRNA from 1 species
GUGGGGAAUAUUGGACAAUGGGCGCAAGCCUGAUCCAGCCAUACCGCGUGGGUGAAGAAGGCCUUCGGGUUGUAAAGCCCUUUUGUUGGGAAAGAAAUCCUAUCGAUUAAUACUCGGUGGGGAUGACGGUACCCAAAGAAUAAGCACCGGCUAACUUCGUGCCAGCAGCCGCGGUAAUACGAAGGGUGCAAGCGUUACUCGGAAUUACUGGGCGUAAAGCGUGCGUAGGUGGUUGUUUAAGUCUGCUGUGAAAGCCCUGGGCUCAACCUGGGAAUUGCAGUGGAUACUGGGCAACUAGAGUGUGGUAGAGGGAUGCGGAAUUUCUGGUGUAGCAGUGAAAUGCGUAGAGAUCAGAAGGAACAUCCGUGGCGAAGGCGGCAUCCUGGGCCAACACUGACACUGAGGCACGAAAGCGUGGGGAGCAAACAGGAUUAGAAACCCCUGUAGUCC